UGACACUAAGUUUAUGUUGUUGUGUUAUAGUAAUAAUGUCUUGAAGUGUGAAUUGGUCGGUUAUGAGGCAGUCAAUUUCUACAAGUCUUUUAAAAAGUGGCAAUACGAUGUUAUUAUUUGUGUGAUCCGAUGGGGUGUCGUGGACGUGUUUCAAGAUAAGCUAACUAUAACUGCAACAUAAUGCACUCAAAUCCGUUUGAAUCCUGGCAUUCCAGAAGUUGCUGAGUUUAGGACAUCGUGAGUCGUUAUAUUAUGAAUUCUUAGUUUUACGCGUGUUCUCCAUGACUAGCUUAUAUAAUAACGGUUUUAAAUUUUUGUUUCGUAAUAGGAUCUCAAGGAAGCGGACUCGCACAAGUGUUCCAAAGAAGAAAUAAUUAUCUCUGGCUUCUGAUUGGGGAUAUUUUACUUUAUGACUUUUUAUUCUUAUGGGUUUUUUUCCUUUUUACAUUUUACAAUACUUUGGCCGUUUACGUUCUAUUGAAAUAUCGUAUUCUAUU